rnacentral:rRNA from 1 species
GACGAACGCUGGCGGCGUGCUUAACACAUGCAAGUCGAACGGAAAGGCCCUGCUUUUGUGGGGUGCUCGAGUGGCGAACGGGUGAGUAACACGUGAGUAACCUGCCCUUGACUUUGGGAUAACUUCAGGAAACUGGGGCUAAUACCGGAUAGGAGCUCCUGCUGCAUGGUGGGGGUUGGAAAGUUUCGGCGGUUGGGGAUGGACUCGCGGCUUAUCAGCUUGUUGGUGGGGUAGUGGCUUACCAAGGCUUUGACGGGUAGCCGGCCUGAGAGGGUGACCGGCCACAUUGGGACUGAGAUACGGCCCAGACUCCUACGGGAGGCAGCAGUGGGGAAUAUUGCACAAUGGGCGGAAGCCUGAUGCAGCAACGCCGCGUGCGGGAUGACGGCCUUCGGGUUGUAAACCGCUUUCGCCUGUGACGAAGCGUGAGUGACGGUAAUGGGUAAAGAAGCACCGGCUAACUACGUGCCAGCAGCCGCGGUGAUACGUAGGGUGCGAGCGUUGUCCGGAUUUAUUGGGCGUAAAGGGCUCGUAGGUGGUUGAUCGCGUCGGAAGUGUAAUCUUGGGGCUUAACCCUGAGCGUGCUUUCGAUACGGGUUGACUUGAGGAAGGUAGGGGAGAAUGGAAUUCCUGGUGGAGCGGUGGAAUGCGCAGAUAUCAGGAGGAACACCAGUGGCGAAGGCGGUUCUCUGGGCCUUUCCUGACGCUGAGGAGCGAAAGCGUGGGGAGCGAACAGGCUUAGAUACCCUGGUAGUCCACGCUGUAAACGGUGGGUACUAGGUGUGGGGUCCAUUCCACGGGUUCCGUGCCGUAGCUAACGCUUUAAGUACCCCGCCUGGGGAGUACGGCCGCAAGGCUAAAACUCAAAGGAAUUGACGGGGCCCCGCACAAGCGGCGGAGCAUGCGGAUUAAUUCGAUGCAACGCGUAGAACCUUACCUGGGUUUGACAUGGAUCGGGAGUGCUCAGAGAUGGGUGUGCCUCUUUUGGGGUCGGUUCACAGGUGGUGCAUGGCUGUCGUCAGCUCGUGUCGUGAGAUGUUGGGUUAAGUCCCGCAACGAGCGCAACCCUUGUUCACUGUUGCCAGCACGUUAUGGUGGGGACUCAGUGGAGACCGCCGGGGUCAACUCGGAGGAAGGUGGGGAUGACGUCAAGUCAUCAUGCCCCUUAUGUCCAGGGCUUCACGCAUGCUACAAUGGCUGGUACAGAGAGUGGCGAGCCUGUGAGGGUGAGCGAAUCUCGGAAAGUCGGUCUCAGUUCGGAUUGGGGUCUGCAACUCAACCUCAUGAAGUCGGAGUCGCUAGUAAUCGCAGAUCAGCAACGCUGCGGUGAAUACGUUCCCGGGGCU